UUUUUUUUUUUUUUUUUUUUUUUUUUUUUUUUUUUUUACCUCCAAUCUG
rnacentral:ribozyme from 13 species